rnacentral:tRNA from 1 species
GAAAUAUAAGGAUUAAGUAAAAGCUGCUAACUUAUUAUUUUAACGGUUAAACUCCGUUUAUAUUUCU